rnacentral:rRNA from 1 species
AAUAAACGCUGGCGGCGUGCCUAACACAUGCAAGUCGAGCGAGAAAGCUCCUUCGGGAGUUAGUAAAGCGGCGAACGGGUGAGCAACACGUGAGAAUCUACCCUUUAGUGAAGAAUACCCUCGAGAAAUCGAGGCUAAUACUGCAUACGUCCCUUCGGGGAGAAAGAUGGCCUCUUUGCUAUCGCUAAAGGAUGAGCUUGCGUACUAUUAGCUAGUUGGCGGGUAAAGCCCACAGCAUGAUGUUAACGGCCUGAGAGGGUGUACGGUCACACUGGAACUUAGACACGGUCCAGACUCCUACGGGAGGCAGCAGUGAGGAAUCUUGCGCAAUGGGCGAAAGCCUGACGCAGCGACGCCGCGUGGAGGAUGACGGUUUUCGGAUUGUAAACUCCUGUUAAGCGGGAAGAAAGCCUUGUUUCUAAUACAAGCAAGGUAUGACGGUACCGCUAGAGAAAGCACCGGCUAACUUCGUGCCAGCAGCCGCGG